ensembl:snoRNA
GAACUGACUUCAAUUUAAAAAAGUUUGCUCAAGAUAAAUAUCGCUUGUCCCCUGUUCCUCUCAUAGUGUCCCAUGCCAGAACAUACUGUGGCCCUAAACCAUUGCCUGACCUCUGUGCCUGUAGGCUCCUGGCACUGAAGCAGGUUGCACAGUG